AAACUAUGGCGGUGAUUCGUGUAAUCUAGGUGUAAACAAAAUAUCAAUGAAAUCACCUGCAUGUAUUGUAGUACAGUUACUGUUAGUAUGUAUAUAUAUUUAUGAGUAUGGUCCUAACGGUGUUGUCUAUCUAUAGUGAAUUAGAAUCAUCCAAAGCAACAACGUUAAACUACAAGUUGACGGCAUGACUCAUCGGCAUGAGCAGCGCCCUCUAUCUGCGGACGACAGCAGCGUAUCGAUGCUGAGCGACGAGUCAUCUACGACUCGCCGAUUCACGAAGCGUAAGGUGCUGCGCCAGGUGGACGGCCGCUCGCAGGUGUUCGACGAGAGCUCGCUGAGUGAUGCUAGCGCCCUCAGUGAGAACGUGAGAGACUACGCCGAGCGGAGAGACGGCGGACCACCGCGGUGGAACCUGCGACAGCGUCCGCAGCGUGGAUCAGCGCCACCUAGCUUCAGGUCAGCACGCUACCCCGAAUCGACCCAAGGCGUAGAAGAGGAAGAGGAGGAGGACUACGCGUGUCUGCGAGCGCGACGUUCCUUCAUCCGGCCAUCGCUGGGUGAGGCCGAGCCAGGCAGACUCGAUCGUCGGUGCGACCCCGUCGACAGAUACCACGCGUACCGCGAGAUCUGGGACGCGCAGCCUCCGCCGGGCACGCUCAGACACAGCGCCCUCCGGUGGGCAGUCCGCGAGCGGAUGCUGACGCAGGACGAGCCGCCGUCGCCGCGGCGACCACGCCGCACGCCGACGGCGUACGUCGUGCCAACGGAAAAGAAGCGACAGUCGCUGCGAUGGCAGGUGCGCUCCGUGCUCGCGGAGACGAACCGCUAGCCUCGGGUGGGGUCUCGGAUGAUGCCGGGGUCGAGACGUCUUCACCUCGAGGUCGUGGUGGAGGUCAAGGUCGUGACCUUCGGAGUCGAGGUUGGCAUCGCUGUUGUGAUCGCUCGCCAAGUUGUUGUCGCGCAUUGUCGUUCGCCGUGGUUUAAUGAGAUGGUGUGUGCUGCGUGAUUUAGUGUGUGGUGCGUGCGUAACGUAAUAUGCGUGUAGUGUACUGCUUGGUAUGUGUGUGCGUGUGUGUGUAGUGUAGUGUAUUGCUUGGUAUGUGUGUGUGUGCGUGUAGUGUACUGCUUGGUAUAUGUGUGUGUGUGUGUGUGUGUGUGCGUGUGCGUGUGCGUGUAGUGUACUGCUUGGUAUGUGCGUGUGUGCGUGCGCCGUGCGUGCGUGUAGUGUAGUUUGGUAUGUGUAUAUGUGCUUGUUUGUGUGUGUUGUGUUGUAUGUGGUGUGUUGGGAGUUUCGUUAGCUCAUGUACCUUUAGGUUAGGGUGCUAGCAACGUUAUGAAUUAUUGCUUUAAGAAGCAUUUUUUUAAUCGAACUGUAUAGUAUGCUGCCACUAUGCUGAUUGUAUUAUGAUUAAACUUUCAUUCCUAG